rnacentral:rRNA from 1 species
AUUGAACGCUGGCGGCAGGCCUAACACAUGCAAGUCGAGCGAGCGGCGGACGGUUGAGUAAUGUCUGGGCAACUGCCUGCUGGCGGGGGAUAACUACUGGAAACGGUAGCUAAUACCGCAUACCCUCAGAUUUGCCCAGAUGGGAUUAGCUAGUAGGUGGGGUCACGGCUCACCUAGGGGACGAUCCCUAGCUGGUCUGAGAGGAUGUCCAGACACAGUGGAACUGAGACACGGUCCAGACUCCUACUGGAGGCAGCAGUGGGGAAUAUUGCACAAUGGGCGCAAGCCUGAUGCAGCCAUGCCGCGUGUGUGAAGAAGGCCUUCGGGUUGUAAAGCACGUUCAGCGGGGAGGCGUUACCCGCAGAAGAAGCACCGGCUAACGCCGAGCCAGCAGCCGCGGUAAUUG